rnacentral:rRNA from 1 species
UGGGGAAUAUUGGACAAUGGGCGAAAGCCUGAUCCAGCCAUGCCGCGUGUGUGAAGAAGGUCUUCGGAUUGUAAAGCACUUUAAGUUGGGAGGAAGGGCAGUAAGCGAAUACCUUGCUGUUUUGACGUUACCGACAGAAUAAGCACCGGCUAACUCUGUGCCAGCAGCCGCGGUAAUACAGAGGGUGCAAGCGUUAAUCGGAAUUACUGGGCGUAAAGCGCGCGUAGGUGGUUCGUUAAGUUGAAUGUGAAAGCCCCGGGCUCAACCUGGGAACUGCAUCCAAAACUGGCGAGCUAGAGUAGGGCAGAGGGUGGUGGAAUUUCCUGUGUAGCGGUGAAAUGCGUAGAUAUAGGAAGGAACACCAGUGGCGAAGGCGACCACCUGGGCUCAUACUGACACUAAGGUGCGAAAGCGUAGGGAGCAAACAGG